CGUCAAAUCAUCAUGCCCCUUAUGGCCAGGGCUACACACGUGCUACAAUGGCGCAGACAGAGGGAUGCGAGGCCGCGAGGCGGAGCGAAACCCAGAAAGGGCGUCCCAGUUCGGAUUGCAGCCUGCAACCCGGCUGCAUGAAGCCGGAAUCGCUAGUAAUCGCGGAUCAGCAUGCCGCGGUGAAUACGUUCCCGGGUCUU
rnacentral:rRNA from 1 species